GACGAACGCUGGCGGCGUGCUUAACACAUGCAAGUCGAACGGAAAGGCCGUGCUUGUGUGGGGUGAUGGAGUGGGGAAGGGGGGAGGAAGACGUGAGUAACGUGCUCUAGACUUUGGGGUAAGUUCAGGAAACUGGGGCUAAUACAGGAUAGGAGCUGAUGUAGCGUGGAGGGGGUGGGAAAGUUUCGGCGGGUGGGGAUGGACUAGCGGCUUAUCAGCUUGUUGGUGGGGUAGUGGCUGACCAAGGCUGUGACGGGUAGCCGGCCUGGGAGGGUGACCGGCCUCCUUGCUCCUGCGGUACGCCCCAGUCUCCAACGUGGGACAACAGUCGCGAGUCUUGCCCAGUGAGCGCAAGCCUGUUGCAGCAACCCCGCGUUCGUGAUGCCCUCCUUCUGGUUGUAAACCGCUUUCGCCUGUGACGAAGCGUUUCUGACGGUACUCGGUAAAGAAGCACCGGCUAACUACGUG
rnacentral:rRNA from 1 species